rnacentral:rRNA from 1 species
CCUACGGGUGGCAGCAGUGGGGAAUAUUGCACAAUGGGGGAAACCCUGAUGCAGCGACGCCGCGUGAGUGAAGAAGUAAUUCGUUAUGUAAAGCUCUAUCAGCAGGGAAGAAAAUGACGGUACCUGAGUAAGAAGCCCCGGCUAACUACGUGCCAGCAGCCGCGGUAAUACGUAGGGGGCAAGCGUUAUCCGGAUUUACUGGGUGUAAAGGGAGCGUAGACGGCAGUGCAAGUCUGGAGUGAAAGGCGGGGGCUCAACCCCCGGACUGCUCUGGAAACUGUACGGCUGGAGUGCAGGAGAGGUAAGUGGAAUUCCUAGUGUAGCGGUGAAAUGCGUAGAGAUCGGGAGGAACACCAGUGGCGAAGGCGGCCUGCUGGGCUUUAACUGACGCUGAAGCACGAAAGCGUGGGUAGCAAACAGGAUUAGAUACCCGAGUAGUC